GUGUCUGCUGUUGAUGUGGGUGACAGCUGCUGGUUGAAAGACAUUGGGAAAGUACUGAAGAUUCAAAUGAAGUUUUGCCAUGACAACAGGGGCUUGAUGUGUGCUAAUCAAUCGAUGGAGUAGAAAAAAAAGCGCUUGGUGGUGAAGGAAGAAAAAGGGAUAAAGUGUGAGUGACAGAAAGUUGUCAGACAGCGCUCACAGAGAUAUCAAAAAGUCACAAAGUUUGCGUCGCCACACAAGAGCCUAAAUCGCAUGUGGUAUAGGCUACAAAAGGUUUGACUUGAAACGCAUUGCAUUUGAUAUAAAGGAAAAGAAAUUGGGACAAUUCUCCAUAUGCUGUGGUGGCAAGAAAGAUUUUUCUUCUUUUUGACAGAGGAGGGGGGCAGGCUUUGUUUCUGUGACACCUACAGUGAAUUCCUGAGAAAAUUCUCCGUCGAGGUCUGUCUGAGCUUCUUCCACCCUUCAAAGGAUGCGGGGCCAUAGGAUGUGGAAUUUACAUCACAAAAGACCCUGAACUGUCUCAGCAAGUAAAGGUAUAACAGAUGAUCAAACACACAAGUCAGAUCAAAUGCAUCAAACAUCAGUAUCUGAAAGAGCAGAUCGUGAGAGAUGGCCAAGACGUUGACUCUAAAGAGACUAAAAAUACUCUUUCACUAAAGUUUGGCAAAGUUGUUUAAAGGCUUAGAAACAUCUUAACCCAGUGCUUACAGGUCUGCAAACCAGGAGCUGCUCUUCAGGCUACUUGAUGAGGAGAGUUUGAGGUAAUAAACCACAACAUCUGAGCCACUGCUGUUGGAUUCAGCUUUACGCUCAGCAGCCAGAGCUUUCAUAAUGCAGUACAACCUUUUCCAGAUGUGGAUCGCUGAGGAAUUCCAGGAAACACAGCAAAUCCACCGAUCUGUCCAUCCACAUGAAUGUCUCAUAUGAGUCAGGAACAACAGGUCAAGGUGACAGAGAUGAGAAACCAAAGCCACAUAAGGUAUGAACAUAAAUAUAAGAUGGAUAAUGAGAUGGAUGGGAAUAUUUUCCAUUUACGGAUAUGCUCGUUAUUACUUGGAACAUGGCUGUCAUAAUGUACCAAUAUUGGUGAUAACUGUCUCAAAAGAAAUAAAAAUGACAUUUAUAGUUUAGUUGCUAGUUAUGCUAGUAAUCACACAUCAUAAAACUGAAGAUAGAUCAUAAGGAAGUAGCAGACUGCAAACAAACUAACUGAAGCAGCUCCAUGGGUGAUUUCAGACAGUCAAACAUACAUCAACAUAAUGCGAAAGCUAUUGUUCAAUCAAGAUUUGUUAAUUCUUUUUAUUAAAAAAAAAGAGCCCCUAUUGGAAGUUGUUACAUUAAAGGUGAAGUAGGCAGGAAUCUGUCUAAGAAUUAUCUUUUUUUGUGGUGUAUAUGCAAAAGAGCUUUUAAUAUCAGUCAAUAGCUAUUAGUUACUGAUGAUAUUUAGAAAUAUCACAAUAUCGCUAUGUUCUCUUAUGCAUGUAGUCAACAUUUAAAAUUUUUGAGCGGACCACUCACUCUGAGUGUAAACAAAGAGAGCCGACUGCUAACACAAGCAACAAAACACUUCAGGACGCUUUGGGAUCUUACAGACCCUGUAACCUUUCUGCCCCCUGAACCUUUUCCUGGACAGGUGAAAGCCAAGUGUCUGAAACAGAAGUGUUUCUUGUCAAUGUAUUGUAGUGCCGCUAAACUGUUUACCUCAGGUCCUAGAGUAUGUCACUUUAUCCUAGUUGUAGGAGUCCUGCAAUUAUUGUGUUUGCUGCUACUCUGUUGGCAUCUACAGUAGCACCAAUGCUUCUUACUUUCACAUUGACUGGGCCCCAUUCAUAAUUAUCUGAAGUAUUUUCUGCAAAUAUAUCUGAAUCUAAGUGGAACGAUACGAGCGAGCAGGAGUGUCUAUUUUGGAGCAACGACUUGCUGGAGCAGAGAGGGAGGGGAGAGGAGGAGCUGAGGGGAAAACUGGUUGGGAAGGGUAGUGUUUAUGUUCUCCUAAAAACUAGCACUUCCUCAGAUCCUGCCUAACCCACCUUUAAGUCCACAUAUAUGAGAAUGCACAGUUCAGACUAGCCGUGGUUGGGGCUCAGUUAAGCAUUUUGACUGGUCAACUUUCCUGUGUCAUGCAGGAACAGGCUAAAAUUAAUGCAUUCAUUAACUUCAUAUAUAUUAUGAUGAAUGGUGGACUAAGUGGCUGUGUUGCAAAUUUUGAACAGAAACGUUGGUGUAGUUUGUCAUAGAGACAGCAAGUGAUUGCUUAAUUUUAGGAGGUUUCAAGAGGUUCUGAGAGUUGUUCAAGAAUCAGGAUUUUACAGCAGCUGAAGUCAGAUUAAAUGACUGAACUGAAACUGGCCUAAGUGUUCAGCCCAGCACCAGUGUUCAUAUGCCAGAAGCUGAAUAGCAUGGAUGUGCUGUUAGGAAGCAGGUAGUAAUCAAAACCCUUACAGACAAAGACUAAAUGUGAAAAAGAGUAAACUUUCCUUAAAAAAAAAAAAAAAAAAAAAACAGCACAGAGCUGUGAAAGAGAUGUCCUAUUAGCCUCUUGCUAACGUCUUUUGCCGGCUGUUUUGAUACGCAAAACGUCAACUAGGAGAUGACCUGAUGGUAAAAAACUUAAAGGGGGUAUGUCGUCACCUAUAGUAGCAGAGGCAGACAUGCUUGGGUCAAUAAUUCCAUUCUUCGCCAUCAUUCUUCUCAACUUAACUGUGCAGGUAAAUGUACUGUGUGUUAGUUGUUGCAUAUUCAUUUAUGUCUCAUGUUAGAUCAAUCAGUCAGGUUGCAUUUUGCAUGGGUGAAAAUGUUAGAUAAUAGUGGGGACUGGUUCUCUAGUUAGUUAAAGCUAAUUGCUGAUCAGUUUGGUGUGCUGAAGGCAUAGAUCUGCAUUACAAGAAUGAACAUCACUUCUUUCAAUGUUUAUUUGUAAUUUUUCUGUUUUUUGUUUUUUUUUUCAGGAGAAUUGUGAGAUAAAGCCUUGUCUGUGCCACACUUGCGCCCCCUUUUUUCUUAUAACUGAUUCAGUUUCUCGGUUGAACACAGAUUGAUCUAAAGUGUGGAUUUAUUUAAGUCAUUCUGGGCUUUUCUUAGUAUGAAAGGUCUUAAUUCCCUAUUGUUAAGCCACUGCGU
rnacentral:lncRNA from 1 species